AUUGAAUGCUGGCGGCAUGCUUUACACAUGCAAGUCGAACGGCAGCACGAAAGAGCUUGCUCUUUUGGUGGCGAGUGGCGAACGGGUGAGUAAUGCAUCGGAACGUACCGAGUAAUGGGGGAUAACUGUCCGAAAGGAUAGCUAAUACCGCAUACGCUUUGAGAAGGAAAGUGGGGGCUCUUCGGACCUCACGUUAUUCGAGCGGCCGAUGUCUGAUUAGCUAGUUGGUGGGGUAAAGGCCUACCAAGGCGACGAUCAGUAGCGGGUCUGAGAGGAUGAUCCGCCACACUGGGACUGAGACACGGCCCAGACUCCUGCGGGAGGCAGCAGUGGGGAAUUUUGGACAAUGGGCGCAAGCCUGAUCCAGCCAUGCCGCGUGUCUGAAGAAGGCCUUCGGGUUGUAAAGGACUUUUGUUAGGGAAGAAAAGGAUAGUGUUAAUACCAUUAUCUGCUGACGGUACCUAAAGAAUAAGCACCGGCUAACUACGUG
rnacentral:rRNA from 1 species